rfam:Cajanus cajan Scaffold134929_2, whole genome shotgun sequence.
CACCGUGCGGUCUCUAAUUCGCUUGGUGCAGGUCGGGAACCGGUUUUCUCGCACAAUGGAGGAGCGGUCUCUGGCGGCGAAUUGGAUCCCGCCUUGCAUCAACUGAAUCGGAGGCCGCCGUGAAU